rnacentral:rRNA from 1 species
AUACGGAGGGUGCGAGCGUUAAUCGGAAUUACUGGGCGUAAAGCGCGCGUAGGCGGUUUGGUCAGUCAGAUGUGAAAGCCCUGGGCUCAACCUGGGAACUGCAUUUGAUACUGCCAGGCUAGAGUAUGGUAGAGGGAAGUGGAAUUCCGGGUGUAGCGGUGAAAUGCGUAGAUAUCCGGAGGAACACCAGUGGCGAAGGCGACUUCCUGGACCAAUACUGACGCUGAGGUGCGAAAGCGUGGGUAGCAAACAGGAUUAGAUACCCUAGUAGUCC